rnacentral:rRNA from 1 species
GUGAGGAAUAUUGGUCAAUGGGCGAGAGCCUGAACCAGCCAAGUCGCGUGAAGGAAGACGGCCCUACGGGUUGUAAACUUCUUUUGCAAUGGAAUAAAAAGAGUUACGUGUAAUUCAUUGUAUGUACAUUGCGAAUAAGGAUCGGCUAACUCCGUGCCAGCAGCCGCGGUAAUACGGAGGAUCCGAGCGUUAUCCGGAUUUAUUGGGUUUAAAGGGUGCGUAGGCGGAUUGGAAAGUCAGCGGUGAAAGUUUGCAGCUUAACUGUAAAAUUGCCAUUGAAACUGUCAGUCUUGAGUGCAAAUGAGGUAGGCGGAAUGUGUUGUGUAGCGGUGAAAUGCAUAGAUAUCACGCAGAACUCCGAUUGCGAAGGCAGCUUACUAAGCUACAACUGACACUGAAGCACGAAAGCGUGGGGAUCAAACAGGAUUAGAUACCCGAGUAGUCC